GCCGCCGGCUCAGCUUCGGUGUUGGUGGGCCGGUCUGCGGGCCACCCCCUCACCAUUCCUGUUGUGGGGCCCACACCAGCAACUCGCAGACUCCUGUUCCCUGUGCAGCCGACGUCUCUGCUGUCCCCACCCCCACCCUGCGGUCCCACUGCCAACAGCGUCUCCUCAGCGCAACGCUCAGCCCGGCGGCCGCCAUCUUCCCCGCAGACAUCACUGCAGGACGAUCACUGUCUGGCACGUCUCUCCUGCCAUGUCUGCCACAGAGGAGCACGACUGGAUCCCAGGUGGCCCGGAUAGAGCUGGUGGCGGGGCGGGCCGCGACCCCAGUCUCCUUGGGGUCCAAGCAUCUGCUUGCGAGGGGACGGAAGGAGUCGAGGAGGCCACGGCUCUUCUGGCUUCCUUGGAGGUCUCCAGAGCCCUUCCCGG
ensembl:lncRNA